rfam:Gossypium raimondii Chr01_contig_140, whole genome shotgun sequence.
CGUUUAAAGAUUUCAUCUAUUUAUACUAUUAAAAAUUACCGUGCCUGUAGAACUAACUAAAUAGUAACACAUGACAUGUCUUGUGUAUGUCAUGCUAAUGUACAAAGAUUAAUUUUUAAUAGUAGAAAUAAAUAAAAUUUUUAGCA